AGUGUCAAAUACGGACUAAACUG
rnacentral:piRNA from 1 species